rnacentral:rRNA from 1 species
UACGUAGGGUGCAAGCGUUAAUCGGAAUUACUGGGCGUAAAGCGUGCGCAGGCGGCUUUGCAAGACAGAUGUGAAAUCCCCGGGCUCAACCUGGGAACUGCAUUUGUGACUGCAUGGCUAGAGUGCGGCAGAGGGGGAUGGAAUUCCGCGUGUAGCAGUGAAAUGCGUAGAGAUCCGGAGGAACACCGACGGCGAAGGCAGCGCCCUGGCCGCCAUCUGACGCUCAGGCACGAAAGCUGGGGGAGCGAACAGG